CUACGGGAGGCACCAGUGAGGAAUAUUGCACAAUGGGGGGAACCCUGAUGCAGCAACGCCGCGUGGAGGAUGACGCAUUUCGGUGUGUAAACUCCUUUUAUAUGUCAAGAAAAUGACGGUAGCAUAUGGAUAAGCACCGGCUAACUCCGUGCCAGCAGCCGCGGUAAUACGGAGGGUGCAAGCGUUACUCGGAAUCACUGGGCGUAAAGGACGCGUAGGCGGGUUGGAAAGUCAGGUGUGAAAUCCUACAGCUUAACUGUAGAACUGCACUUGAAACUUCUAAUCUAGAGUAUGGGAGGGGGAGAUGGAAUUAGUGGUGUAGGGGUAAAAUCCGUAGAUAUCACUAGGAAUACCUAAAGCGAAGGCGAUCUCCUGGAACAUUACUGACGCUAAGGCGUGAAAGCAUGGGGAGCAAACAGGAUUAGAUACCCUUGUAGUC
rnacentral:rRNA from 1 species